GUGGAAAUACAAAUGAGCUGUGGGCCAGGGAAGACGGAGGAUACGUGGUGGUCGACGGCAGCUGGCCGAGCCGUGACUCAGGACGACAUUCCUCUUCCUGAUCCGUGGAUCAGAAAAGUUACUUUCCGUUAUCUGCAUCGACGGAAUGGCUGGUAAGUGGUGGGUUGGUGUGGUACAGUCGUCUUCUACCUCACCCUUCUGGAUUUUGCAAGUAGAGAGAGAGCGCCGAGGCUGUGGAGAAGCGAUUCAAUCAGGGGGGCAAGAUCUGCCAGUGGGCAUGGAGUUCCUUAUGCAACCGAUUAAAAGAUUUAUGGUGCCUGAGGAGGUUAAUGAUUGUGAAAUCCCUAUGGAGCCCCUCCAUUAUCCUGUGGCGGCACGGAGCAGAAUCAACCCCCAUUCGAUGGGAAGAUUUGUGCGGUAGAGGCAGCCGCUAGAGAUCAGAGGGAGGAUUCCCCACAGGCCUCGGCACAGUCGGCAGGAAAGAUGGAUCCAAGAACUUCAGGAUGGGCACACAGGAGUUUUUUGGGUCGAUGGUGAAUGUUCCCUUCACAAAUGGGGCGCGGAAGAAUCUAUGUGGGAAAAUUAGCCAUGAGCAAAGCAGAGGACGAUGUACGGAAGACGAUGGAGGUUUUCGCGGAUGUCGGUUCAAAAGAUACACACUUCACCUAUCGCUAUGUUAACAAGGAGCAUGAUGUUCUUCCUCGCAUCAACCUCUUUGAUCAGGACAGUCUGUUAGAAGAAUGAUCAAUAUGGCUGCUGGCAUCGGCAAGGAUGUUACAUCAUACUCAAACUGCAAGCAAGGACAACUCUUCGUUCUGAAUUACAUCAGGGAAGUCGAUCGGCUUUACCUAGAAAAUCAUCUCACACCGGUAAGCGCGUGGGUAAGGGGAGAUGCACAUUUCUCAUGUCGCAGAAAGAUUUUGCUCUAUUAAAAAAAUGUGCAGAACCGGCUACACUAUCUCUGAAGCUCCAUUUGCCCAUGAGGUGAUUUUGAUGAGAGGAAACAGGGGUGUGCUGCCAGAUUUCAUGAUCUUGGAAGUGCUGUUCUGAGAAGUUAAGAGGUGAUAGCGAAGGUAGUUUGGUUCUUGAAGAUGCAAGUCUAGAUGACAACCCCUAGGUUAUAUUUUGACACUUCGGGCAGUUGUUAGCUGCCUUGCCAGAUGCUGCUGUGGUAGUGCCUGGAUUCCGAUGUUUGUUCAGCACUAGAUACACUCAUGUAAAUCAAGACCUAUAUUUUUGGUCUGGAUGUGACCUGUUUAACUUCACCCCACAUAGCUGGCGUGGAAGCUCUUGUGCUCACGGUGAACUUAAAUUAUGAGCGCUAAAUGUACGAAGACAUAUCUUUAGGGCCUCUUUGAUUCAAAGGAUUUUCAUAGGAUUUUUUAAGGAUUAGAAUCCUUAGGAAUUUUUCCUACGUUGGUCAUUUGAUUCGUAGGAUUGAAUACUAUAGGAUUCUUUCCUAAGGAUUCACUUGUACUACAUUUCACAAGAAUUCUAACAUCCACUUCAACCUCUUGGAAGAAAUCCUUUGUUUUUUCCAUGACACAAUCAAACAAACUCAAAUCCUAUAGGGAUCCAAUGGACAUGCCAUUCCAAUCCUACGUUUUUCCUAUUCCUG
rnacentral:rRNA from 1 species